rnacentral:rRNA from 1 species
UGCGUAGGCGGGGCAAUUAGUCAGUGGUGAAAUCCUGCGGCUUAACCGUAGAACUGCCAUUGAUACUGUUGCCCUUGAGUAUAGUUGAGGUGGGCGGAAUGUGUAAUGUAGCGGUGAAAUGCAUAGAGAUUACACAGAACACCAAUUGCGAAGGCAGCUCACUAAGCUAUAACUGACGCUGAGGCACGAAAGCGUGGGGAGCGAACAGGAAUAGAUACCCUGGUAGUC